UCCUCAUUUGCCUUCUCUUCUGACUAGAUGUUCAUCUUUCUGGAGGCAUCUGCCAGUCUCUGGGGUCUCUUAGUCCUCAGGAGUAAAGACAGAAAGCGUCAUGUUCCUGCAAAGAGAAAAAUAAGGAAAAAAUCUGCAAAACAUUGAAGACUCAUGACCCACUUUAAAAACAUAACUGGAUACAUCACAUGAACUCAAGACCAUGACUAUGGAGGAAGAUUUAACACUUGGCAACUCUUACAACAACAACAACAGCAACAGGGAAAAACAACAACAACAACAACCGAAGAGUGCAAAAAGAACUAAUGCAUUCUCUAGGUAUGCCUGGAUGGAGCCUCUAAGACCUAACAGGAUGUCUGAGAUUCCAGGGAAGUGGCCUGUGAUCUGUCAGUAAACAAAUAAGAAGCUAAUACAGCUUUGUUGUGUUUUCUGAUUGGCAUGGUUCUGAACUAUCUCCUACUUGUAGUUGCAGACAAAGAAACAGGAGAUGAAUUACCAUGUUCUAGGACUUUGUGUUCCUUUCCAAUUCAAACUGCAAUAAGAAA
rnacentral:lncRNA from 1 species